GAACGAUCCCUUCGGGGAUAGUGGCGCACGGGUGCGUAACGCGUGGGAAUCUGCCCUUGGGUUCGGAAUAACUUCUGGAAACGGAAGCUAAUACCGGAUGAUGACGUAAGUCCAAAGAUUUAUCGCCCAAGGAUGAGCCCGCGUAGGAUUAGCUAGUUGGUGAGGUAAAGGCUCACCAAGGCGACGAUCCUUAGCUGGUCUGAGAGGAUGAUCAGCCACACUGGGACUGAGACACGGCCCAGACUCCUACGGGAGGCAGCAGUAGGGAAUAUUGGACAAUGGGGGAAACCCUGAUCCAGCAAUGCCGCGUGAGUGAUGAAGGCCUUAGGGUUGUAAAGCUCUUUUACCCGGGAUGAUAAUGACAGUACCGGGAGAAUAAGCUCCGGCUAACUCCGUGCCAGCAGCCGCGGUAAUACGGAGGGAGCUAGCGUUGUUCGGAAUUACUGGGCGUAAAGCGCACGUAGGCGGCUAUUCAAGUCAGAGGUGAAAGCCCGGGGGCUCAACCCCGGAACUGCCUUUGAAACUAGAUAGCUUGAAUCCAGGAGAGGUGAGUGGAAUUCCGAGUGUAGAGGUGAAAUUCGUAGAUAUUCGGAAGAACACC
rnacentral:rRNA from 1 species